rnacentral:rRNA from 1 species
UACGUAGGGUGCAAGCGUUGUCCGGAAUUAUUGGGCGUAAAGAGCUCGUAGGCGGUCUGUCGCGUCGGCUGUGAAAACUCGGGGCUCAACCCCGAGCCUGCAGUCGAUACGGGCAGACUAGAGUGCGGUAGGGGAGACUGGAAUUCCUGGUGUAGCGGUGAAAUGCGCAGAUAUCAGGAGGAACACCGGUGGCGAAGGCGGGUCUCUGGGACGGUACUGACGCUGAGACGCGAAAGCGUGGGGAGCGAACAGG